rnacentral:lncRNA from 1 species
GCCAAAUUAGAUUAUUCCUCGUGAUCUGGAUCGACCUAUCUGUGACUGACCUGAGCUCGUGCCUGGAGUGUGUGUGAUUCUGAUUGGAUGAGGUGGUGUGGAGCGAGAUGAGGUCAGUUGCUGCUACUAUAUGAGGAUAGCCCUUGCCCCAAGCAAAAGGAGAAGCUGCUGCGUGAACCCGACUUGGUGUCCCUGUUGUUCUUGUCUCUGCGGGUCGGAGACUGCGGCAAUGCGCUUGUUAAGCUUCCCGAGUCCCUGUAAAGUCAGUCCUUCGGGGAUUUAUGACUGCUUCCUUCCACAGAUGUAACGGAAAAAGCCAUCCGCAGUCAGCCAUCACCUCAACAACCCAAGAUCUUCUUUCCCCAGAGGUUGGGAGCAGAGCAAGGGUCGCAAGUCGUCAGAGCAUUCUCCUCUGUGGGUUCUCAUGAAGGGACAAAAUUCAGUGACAACUAACACGUUUCUGUGAGAUCAGUAUGGACAAUCUGAGAGUUGGAGAUCUCUCAGGGAAAACAGCCACAGAGAUUUCUUCUAUGAAUUGCACAGGUGGCAGAGUGAAGAGUGGGAGGCAUGCACCUUCGAGUGGUACAUGGACACAGAAGAAGCCAGACUCCCCCUCACAGGAGAUCCACAAGGACUGUCUAAGAGAACUAUCCUUAGAGUCCCUGAAUCACCAGAGUCUUUCUUCGUGCCAGGAUGGAAGAUUUAAACUCUAG